AGUCCAUGAUGAGGACACCUUCUCAGAAGAUCCUUAAAUCUCUCUCAUGCAUCAUGCAAUAUCUCAAGCUUAAAUUGAGCAAAAGAAGAGAUGUCAUUCCUUAAGUU
rnacentral:snoRNA from 1 species